rnacentral:rRNA from 1 species
GGAGGGUGCAAGCGUUAUCCGGAUUCACUGGGUUUAAAGGGUGCGUAGGUGGGUUGGUAAGUCAGUGGUGAAAUCUCCGGGCUUAACCCGGAAACUGCCGUUGAUACUAUCAAUCUUGAAUCUCGCGUAGGUAAGCGGAAUAUGUCAUGUAGCGGUGAAAUGCUUAGAUAUGACAUAGAACACCAAUUGCGAAGGCAGCUUACUUCACGAGUAUUGACACUGAGGCACGAAAGCGUGGGGAGCAAACAGGAUUAGAUACCCUGGUAGUCCACGCCCUAAACGAUGGAUACUCGACAUUAGCGAUACACAGUUAGUGUCUGAGCGAAAGCAUUAAGUAUCCCACCUGGGAAGUACGACCGCAAGGUUGAA